AUUGAACGCUGGCGGCAUGCUUUACACAUGCAAGUCGAACGGUAACAGGUUAAGCUGACGAGUGGCGAACGGGUGAGUAAUGCAUCGGAACGUGCCCGAUCGUGGGGGAUAACGCAGCGAAAGCUGCGCUAAUACCGCAUACGAUCUGAGGAUGAAAGCGGGGGACCGGAAGGCCUCGCGCGAUCGGAGCGGCCGAUGUCAGAUUAGGUAGUUGGGGGGGUAAAGGCUCACCAAGCCGACGAUCUGUAGCUGGUCUGAGAGGACGACCAGCCACACUGGGACUGAGACACGGCCCAGACUCCUACGGGAGGCAGCAGUGGGGAAUUUUGGACAAUGGGCGAAAGCCUGAUCCAGCAAUGCCGCGUGCAGGAAGAAGGCCUUCGGGUUGUAAACUGCUUUUGUACGGAGCGAAAAGGCUCUCUCUAAUACAGGGGGCUCAUGACGGUACCGUAAGAAUAAGCACCGGCUAACUACGUGCCAGCCGCCGCGGUAA
rnacentral:rRNA from 1 species